rnacentral:rRNA from 1 species
UACGUAGGGGGCUAGCGUUGUUCGGAAUCACUGGGCGUAAAGCGCACGUAGGCGGUUCUUUAAGUCUGGUGUGAAAUCCCGAGGCUCAACCUCGGAACUGCCUUUGAUACUGGGGAUCUCGAGUCCGGGAGAGGUGAGUGGAACUGCGAGUGUAGAGGUGAAAUUCGUAGAUAUUCGCAAGAACACCGGUGGCGAAGGCGGCUCACUGGCCCGAUACUGACGCUGAGGCACGAAAGCGUGGGGAGCAAACAGG